rnacentral:tRNA from 2 species
GCGGUCGUGGCGGAAUUGGUAGACGCGCAACGUUGAGGUCGUUGUGUCCGAAAGGACGUGGAAGUUCGAGUCUUCUCGACCGCA